CCUACGGGAGGCAGCAGUGGGGAAUAUUGCACAAUGGGGGAAACCCUGAUGCAGCGACGCCGCGUGAAGGAAGAAGUAUUUCGGUAUGUAAACUUCUAUCAGCAGGGAAGAAAAGGACGGUACCUGAGUAAGAAGCCCCGGCUAACUACGUGCCAGCAGCCGCGGUAAUACGUAGGGGGCAAGCGUUAUCCGGAUUUACUGGGUGUAAAGGGAGCGUAGACGGCAGUGCAAGUCUGGAGUGAAAGGCGGGGGCUCAACCCCCGGACUGCUCUGGAAACUGUACGGCGGGAGUGCAGGAGAGGUAAGUGGCUUUCCUAGUGUAGCGGUGAAAUGCGUAGAUAUUAGGAGGAACACCAGUGGCGCAGGCGUCUUACUGGACUGUAACUGACGUUGCGGCUCGAAAGCGUGGGGAGCACACAGGAUUAGAUACCCUAGUAGUC
rnacentral:rRNA from 1 species